CCUACGGGAGGCAGCAGUGAGGAAUAUUGGUCAAUGGGCGUAAGCCUGAACCAGCCAAGUCGCGUGAGGGAAGACUGUCCUAUGGGUUGUAAACCUCCUUUGCCAGGGAGCAACGCCGGCCACGCGAAGCCGGACUGAGAGUACCUGAGGGAAAAGCAUCGGCUAACUCCGUGCCAGCAGCCGCGGUAAUACGGAGGAUGCGAGCGUUAUCCGGAUUUAUUGGGUUUAAAGGGUGCGUAGGCGGAAUGUUAAGUCAGCGGUAAAAUCGCGGGGCUCAACCCCGCCCUGCCGUUGAAACUGGCGUC
rnacentral:rRNA from 1 species